rnacentral:sRNA from 1 species
UUUAAAAAGAGUGAUAGAAACUAGUCCAAUGCGAUGGAAGACCGGAGGAAAGCCCAAGCAGCCGCUAAGGAGAAGCGGAAAUUAAUGAUCUGAACAAUGGAUUCAUGUAGGUAACAGCAAUUGAAAGUCGAGACACGAAUUGUGCGGUGUGCAGACAGGAAGAGGACAAUUGGAGAUGAUUCUAUCAAUAGAUACAGUUUGGGAAAGUAUGUUCAACUAAACAGUCAUUGAAUGAAAGCCGCGUUCCGAAUGGCUUUAAUAAUAGUUACUUGUUUUAAAACACAGUUGCCAGUUAGAUCGCACAAAGCGAUAUUUGUGUUCAGGCCAGUUAUUGAUUAAAGUAAUCCGAUUAAAGCGGAA